rnacentral:lncRNA from 10 species
GAUCAUCAGACCAUUCUGAAGAGGAGGAGUUGGCACAGUUACUUCUCCUCUCUGAGCCUCGAUCUCCCUGCCGGCAAAAUGGGGAUCCUUGUCCCAGCUCCACUCACUCUAUAGGGUUCGUUUGAGGCUCAUGGAAUGAAAAGAUCUAAAGAAGUCUGGCCAGAGGGACACUGAGAUGAGCAAUGUGGUUGGAGGAGAGGAUACUGACCCAAGAAUUCUCUGGAUAAGAAGAAGGAGGAGGGGAAGCCUGAAGUGGAUGGGUCGAGCCUCAGCUGUGGAAGAAUUGCUAAUUACAGCCACCAUAAGGAAAUAUCAAUGAUGGACGUCAAUAUUAUUGCCUCCUGCAUCCCUGCCUGUUUAUUUGGAGAUGAAAAGCGCCCUAGGGUCAUCUCUCCAGGACGAAGAUGAGUGAUGACAGAAGGGAGGAGAGCUACACAUGGAGAAAAGGGCAUCCUCCAGCUGGAUUCAUUCAUGAAACCAGGACCCAUUUCCUCUGGGCAGAGUUCUCUCCACUGAGGGCCCAGGGCUGGGGCUGAGGGCAAAGGAACCUGCACAGGGAGGAGGAACUAGUGAUCCUGCUCCCAGCCCUGGUUCACCAAGUGACUGCAUGUAUGCCUCUUUGUGCCUCAGUUAACUCAUCUGAUAAAUGGGUAUGACAAUUCCA